rnacentral:rRNA from 1 species
UACAGAGGGUGCGAGCGUUGUUCGGAAUUACUGGGCGUAAAGCGUGCGUAGACGGCUAUCUAAGUCGGGUGUGAAAGCCCCGGGCUCAACCUGGGAAUUGCAUUCGAGACUGAAUAGCUAGGGUGCGGUAGAGGGAAGCGGAAUUUCCGGUGUAGCGGUGAAAUGCGUAGAUAUCGGAAGGAACAUCAGUGGCGAAAGCGGCUUCCUGGACCAGCACCGACGUUCAGGCACGAAAGCGUGGGGAGCAAACAGG